ACUGCCCCGAAGACGGGAUAACUCGAGGAAACUCGGGCUGAAUACCGGAUGCCCUACGAUGAACCGCAUGGUUCGACGAGGAAAUGGAUUCCGCUUCGGGAUGGGCUCGCGGCCUAUCAGCUUGUUGGUGGGGUAACGGCCUACCAAGGCAACGACGGGUAGCUGGUCUGAGAGGACGAUCAGCCACACUGGGACUGAGACACGGUCCAGACUCCAUACGGGAGGCAGCAGUAGGGAAUCUUGCGCAAUGGGCGAAAGCCUGACGCAGGGGCGCCGCGUUGCGGAUGAAGGCCUUCGGGUCGUAAAACCGUUUCAACAGGGACCGAAAUUGA
rnacentral:rRNA from 1 species